CACACACACACACACACACACACACACACCCUCACAUAGUUAGUAUUCAGCUUUUUUCAGACUUUUUUUCCCAACCUGCAGAAUUAAAUGUGUUCUCGCUCUGUCUCUCUCUCUGUUUCUGUCUCUCUUUCUCUUCCCCCAUACCAGGAAUCUGUCUUGUGUGAUGUGAUGGCCAAGGCCCUGAACUAACUACUAAGCAUAGGGCUAAUAAGAAAUGGAUAAAGAUUACUUUGGAUACUCUUUCCCAUGCACAAAGGCAUGCUUAGAUGUAAUGUCUGUUACUAGGUGCUAUGUGAAUGUGUACAUUACAUCUAUAACAAAAUAUCUGCUGAUAUUCCAUAUGUCAUGUUUUAAAGUCAUUCUAAGUUAUACAAAAUAAUAGGCUCUGAUGAAAUAAUUGUGCUUUCCCUUUCUUCCAUGCUGUCAUGUGACCGUUCAUAAUCUGUUGGAGGGUUCUCGAGUCCCAGGAGCAGGGGAAUCGCAGAGAGCCACGAAUCUGCCUGCUAUGUAAGCUCUCUAGCAAGGAAAAGCUGACCCAGGUGUGAAGCAGACCAGUACACCCCACAGACACUAAAACAGUUGACCCCGACGUGAUUUGAACACGCAACCUUCUGAUCUGGAGUCAGACGCGCUACCGUUGCGCCACGAGGUCCUGCGGGAGCCCCCCUUUUCCUUUACCUGUCAACCUGAUCUAUGAAAUUAAUCAUCUGUACCAAGUAAGUGAAGUUUAAUUGUGCCGAAUCCCAUCUGCGCGACAGCGGCGUCUCCUUACACCCGCUCUUGUCCUUAGUUGAAAUGAUCGAUUUUAUACUGCGAGAGUUCUUUCUAAUCUGAUCACUGGAUCUGAAACUGCCCCUAAGAAGAGCAGGAAAUCUUUUUUGCCGGAGGAAGCAAGUGAUCCCGUCACCAGGGUUUGACUGGUUAAAGCGCCUGUCUGGGAAACUGCAGGCGGGUUUCGAAUCUCAAUGAGAUUUUUUCCCGAGAUGUAAAUAAGGGAGAGGUCGCUUUGAACUCCUAGAAAAAGAUAUUCUGAAAAAUGAAUCCUGAGCUCUGGACCCAUUUUUCAAGAUUAAGAACUGGAAAUUUUAAUUUUCAGAGAGAGGUGCGUCUGUUUUCCAGUAGUGGAUCAUUUUUCAGAAUAUCCUGUCCAGUAGUCUCAAAAUUGUGUACCUCUGAUUCUCCUUAUCUCUUUUCCUUGCUUUUCCUAGGCUAGAUGCUGCAUACUGUAUAUCAGCAUCUAGUAUACCAUAUAUUUUACUUAUAUAUUUAUUGAUUACCUAUUGAAAAUAACUAAACUAAAAGCUAAGGCACAGCCUCUUUGGGGGCCCGUCUGAGAGGUCAGCUUGCCCUCCACAUAACAUAUCCUCUUUGGCUACCACAGCCACCUCACCAUAGCAUGGCUACCACUCCCUGCUAAGAACAAACACCAGGAAGUUGACCCAGAGGGAUGGUGGCCUCUCUAAGAAAUCAGACUCUCAGACUUGAUAUAUGUCCCUCAUUUUGGUUGUGGAUCCCCUGUGACACAGAACACGUGGUAAAUUAUUGCAGCAGAGGCUGCUAGAGUAGUUAUCAAAGUCUGUUUCCUUUUCUUGGAAAUACAAUUGUCUUGGUCUGUUUGGGGUGCUAUCACAAGAUAUCAUAGACUAGGUGGCUUAAACAAAAAAAACAUUUCUUUCUCACAGUUCUGGAGGCUGGGAAGUCCAAGAUCAAGGCAUUAGCAGUUCAGUAUGGCUGUGUCCUCACGUGGUGGCAGGGGCCAGGGAGUCCUCUGGGGUCUCUUUUAUAAGGACACUAAUCCCGUUCAUGAGGGUUCCACUGAAUCACCUCCCGAAGAAGGCCCCACCUCCAAAUACCAUCACACUGGGGAUUAGGUUUCAACAUAUGAAUUUGGGGGGGACCCAAACAUUCAGUCUAAACUCCAUUUCCUAGCCUCCCUUGCAAUUAGUUUCGGCCAUGUGGCUGAGAUCUGGACAAUGGAAUGUGGAAAGAAUUGUAACCGGCCAGUUUGAAACUUUGACGCUUGACCCAGGAAAGCCUCUCUUGGUUUGGGGGGUUCCUCUCUAUGUCCCUUUGCCUUCUAUCUAUCAAACUCAGAGGACUCCAUGGUCCUAGACUCCAAAGUCACACGAUAGUCUCUCAGUGACCAUGUGAAGACCAGCCAGACAAUCUGCACUAGAUGUUGCCUGAGAGAAAAACAUUUAUUGAGGUGAAAAACUGAGAUUUAUGGGGGUUUUUCUAUGGUUUUUUUAUGGGUGCUAUAAAGCAACUGGUAUCACUAAUACAAUACUGUUUUACUAUUGCUUGCUUAUUAAUGUCCCACAUUUUAGUGCUUAACUCUAAAUAUCAGAAUUACAUCUUUCUCAUAAUACACCAAGUGAUAAAGUAAUGGGAGUCAUUAGCACACACAUGCUACACAUAUGGCAGAAAAUACACAAAUUUCUCCAAAAUUCUAAAAAUUAUUACCUCGUUAAUAAUGUAUAAUUAUUUUGUAAACUAAUUUAGGAUUCUUCCUGCACUUCACUUCCUCACCUUAUAAAUCCAAGCUGGGCAGAAAUAUAGAAAUGUGCAACUAGAGAUUAUCAUACUAAGUGAAGUAAGUCAGAAAGAGAA